ACUGCCUACAAAUUAGCGUCCUUGAUAGGAUACAACAUCACAGGAUUUCAUGUUGACUUGAUGGAUUGGGAGAUAUUUAGCCAUAGCUAAUCUUGAAUAAGAGUUUCCGUUAAGAUACCAAGUAAACUUUCAACAACUUCUACCUAUUGAGUUUCCUGUCUCCUGUAAUUUUUUUGUUUUGGGAGCAAGCGACAACGCUAAGUGGUUAUGAUGGAAACUCACUUUCUACUACUCAGCACAUCUUCUUAUCAAUUCUUCCAAAUCUCCCCAACUUGAAUAAUUUGUUACCCGUGAGAAGUUUACUUCAAAUGAUAAUGCAAGAAGGAGGUGUCCGACCCAAAAAAGAAA